rnacentral:rRNA from 1 species
AUUGAACGCUGGCGGCAUGCUUUACACAUGCAAGUCGAACGGUAACAGGCCGCAAGGUGCUGACGAGUGGCGAACGGGUGAGUAAUGCAUCGGAACGUGCCCAGUCGCGGGGGAUAACGCAGCGAAAGCUGCGCUAAUACCGCAUACGAUCUAUGGAUGAAAGCGGGGGACCGUAAGGCCUCGCGCGAUUGGAGCGGCCGAUGUCAGAUUAGGUAGUUGGUGGGGUAAAGGCGCCCCAAGCCGACGAUCUGUAGCUGGUCUGAGAGGACGACCAGCCACACUGGGACUGAGACACGGCCCAGACUCCGACGGGAGGCAGCAGUGGGGAAUUUUGGACAAUGGGCGCAAGCCUGAUCCAGCAAUGCCGCGUGCAGGAAGAAGGCCUUCGGGUUGUAAACUGCUUUUGUACGGAACGAAAAGGCUCUGGUUAAUACCUGGGGCUCAUGACGGUACCGUAAGAAUAAGCACCGGCUAACUACGUGCCAGCCGCCGCAGUAA